GAGGGAAUUGGGGUUUUUUAGGGCAUGGCUACACUUGCAGAUGUAGAGUGCUUGGAGUUAAACUAGCCUUCGUAGAGCUCAGUAGGGAAAGCGCUGCAAUCUGUCCACGCUGACAGCUACAAGUGCACUGGCAUGGCUACAUUAGUAGCUCUUGCAACGGCUACAGUGCAUUGUGGUAGCUAUCCCAGCAUGCAAGUAGCUGCAAUGUGCUUUUCA